AACGAACGCUGGCGGCAGGCCUAACACAUGCAAGUCGAACGCCCCGCAAGGGGAGUGGCAGACGGGUGAGUAGCGCGUGGGAACCUUCCCAAAGGUGAGGAAUAGCUCAGGGAAACUGGGGGUAAUACCGCAUAAUGCCGAAAGGCCAAAGAUUCAUCGCCUUUGGAUGGGCCCGCGUCGGAUUAGCUAGUUGGUGAGGUAACGGCUCACCAAGGCGACGAUCCGUAGCUGGUUUGAGAGAAUGCCCAGCCACACUGGGACUGAGACACGGCCCAGACUCCUACGGGAGGCAGCAGUGGGGAACCUUGGACAAUGGGCGCAAGCCUGAUCCAGCCAUGCCGCGUGAGUGACGAAGGCCUUAGGGUUGUAAAGCUCUUUUGCCGGGGACGAUAAUGACGGUACCCGGAGAAUAAGUCCCGGCUAACUUCGUGCCAGCCGCCGCGGUAA
rnacentral:rRNA from 1 species